rnacentral:lncRNA from 12 species
CCGCGUCCUCGCAGGGACGGAGGGAGAGGGACGGAGGGACGGGGGGGGGGGGGUUUGUGCAAGAGGCACCCCUGUCCCGUGACCCUCCCUCCCACUGAUCUCCCACCGGCGCUCACCGCAGGUCAAACCAUCCUGAAGCCUGAGACACAGAAUCCCGACUCGGUCCACACUGGCCAGAGACACAGACUCCCCAGACUUGGUCUACACUGGCCAAUACACAGAAUCCCCAGACUUGGUCCACACUGGCCCAGACAGACUCCCCAGACUCAGGCCACAUUGGCCAACACACAUAAUCCCCAGGCACGGUCCACACUGGCCAGAGACACAGACUCCCCAGACUUGGUCCACACUGGCCGACACAGACUCCCCAGACUUGGUCCACUCUGGCCAACACACAGACUCCCCAGACUCGGUCCACACUGGCCGAGACACAGAGUCCCCAGACUUGGUCCACACUGGCCGACACAGACUCCCCAGACUUGGUCCACUCUGGCCAACACACAGACUCCCCAGACUCGGUCCACACUGGCCGAGACACAGAGUCCCCAGACUCGGGCCACAGUGACCAGCCUCCCGGGGCCCCGGGCGAGGAGGAGGGCAGGACUAGAGCAUCCCGGGGGGAGCAGGCGAUGGCCCAGGGCGGCCAGGAGACCCCGUCCGGCACGGGCAGUGCUCACGACAGCCGCAGGCCCCGAGGUGCGGGGCACACGAGCCACGAGCACCCCGAACCCGGCUGGGCGCCCACUGCCUCCUGGAACCCCUGGUCCGGGGGGGCCGCGCCGCCACCGAGCUCUUCAGGAGCCAGGCUCUGCGGCGCCUGGGGGUGGUGAGUCGUGGGAAGAGCCGGGAGCCGGAGCCACCGUCCAUCCCCGCGCCGCCAGCCCCGGCCACAGCCACACGACAGCCGGCGGGAAGCGGACGAGCCGUCUGUUCGGUGCCGCCCACGGCGUUCACGGGCAGGCUGGGCGUCGAACACGGGGGGACGAGCAGUCAAGUCACAUAUUCAACCGUGCUUGGGUACAAGAGGAAAAGCCGUAUGUCACCGUUUUCUCUGUCAUCCCCAAAUACCAGUGA